AACGAACGCUGGCGGCAUGCCUAACACAUGCAAGUCGAACGAGACCUUCGGGUCUAGUGGCGCACGGGUGCGUAACGCGUGGGAAUCUGCCCUUAGGUUCGGAAUAACUCAGGGAAACUUGAGCUAAUACCGGAUAAUGACGUAAGUCCAAAGAUUUAUCGCCUAGGGAUGAGCCCGCGUAGGAUUAGCUAGUUGGUGGGGUAAAAGCCUACCAAGGCGACGAUCCUUAGCUGGUCUGAGAGGAUGAUCAGCCACACUGGGACUGAGACACGGCCCAGACUCCUACGGGAGGCAGCAGUGGGGAAUAUUGGACAAUGGGCGAAAGCCUGAUCCAGCAAUGCCGCGUGAGUGAUGAAGGCCUUAGGGUUGUAAAGCUCUUUUACCCGGGAUGAUAAUGACAGUACCGGGAGAAUAAGCUCCGGCUAACUCCGUGCCAGCCGCCGCCGUAA
rnacentral:rRNA from 1 species